CUGCGAGUUCGCGGGAGAGUAGGUUAUUGCCAGGGUUUUUAUUUUAUACUUUAAACUUUGAUUUUAUUUUUAUGUUUUUUAAAUAUUGGUGUUUUUGAAUGUGUUGUUUAAAUAACAUAAAAAAUAAAAUAUAUAUUGACAUGUAUUAAACAAAGAUAUAUAUUAUUUUAUGUUGUAUAAAUAAAUUGGCAAAAUAGAGAUGGAAGAUAAAAAUAUGGUCAAAGUAAUAAGAGUCUAUGGUGAAUGCCUAGG
rnacentral:misc_RNA from 1 species